rnacentral:misc_RNA from 1 species
CACCAACCAAAAGGUCUUAUACCAUGAUUCAUUGACUCUGCAUCGCGUGUCAGGCAAGUGAUUACAGCAAGCUGGCAUGACGUUCUGGUGAUAGUUAGCUAGUCGUCUAACAGGUCUGGAUCAAACUUUAAUUGGUCCAUUUUCUUUUUCCCUUCUACCUAUAGGUGAUUUUCCGUUGCCUGUUAUAGCAAGGAUCGUUGUUCAAUUUUUACAGCUGUUAGAAGGAAUAGAAGGAAAUUUUUAAUUGCAAUAGCUUUUAACUUUUUGAGGG